UGUGGUUGCUCAGUGUAACCAGAGUUGAGAGUUAGUAACAGAGAAGGUUUUUUUACAGGUUCUUUUGAUUCUGUGGCAUUGUGAGAUCCCAGCAGGCACAGUAGUAGGUGGCUUCAUCAGACUUGACAACAUUAUUGAUUAUCAGUGAGACAAAAAAACGUGGAACUAUGCAAAGACCAGAAAUGGACCCAAGGAAGGGGCAUCCCAACAGCUGAGACAGUGAGACAAAUUUUACUUUGCUACUACAGACAAUUUGCAAGGAGGAAGCUGUGAAUACCAGGAUACCUGCUGGAAGAGGAAACCCAACAACAAAGGAACCACCAACAGAUAGCAAUGGAAAAAGGUGAAGGAGGGAGUGGAAGCCACACUAACUCAACCCAGGACCUAUCCAGAAAUACAACUAAAUGGUGGAGAAACAACCCAGUACAAACAACUGAAAAAGAGCAACAGAGAAUCCUCAAAACCUUGUGCACAUGGAAGAACCAGCUUCAACACAACCUGCCCACACCUGCUCAAUAGAAUACAAAAGAUAGUGGACAGAGUGACCCUCAGUUAACCAGCUGGUGGAAAGGACCCACAAAAGAAAGACCCUGAAACAAUCAAAACCCAAAGACAAACACAGAGCCAACUUAAAGGACAGCCCAAGACCAGUGAGCUUGGGAGAUCAAGGAGACUACACCACUGAAUCUCACAGGCAUUAUACCACAGAAGUUCACACCAUAAAUCCAGAAAGCCAGAACAAAUCAAUUUAAGAAUUUGAAGCUAACAAGAAGAGUCUCACAAACAAUGGGAAGACAAAGAAACAUUCCCCAAAUAAAGGAAAGGAGUAAGCCUCAGAAAGAAUGCUACAUGAAAUAGAGGCAAGUCAGCAAUCACAUAUUGAAUUCAAAGCAUUGGUUAUUAGGAAGUUCAAAGGGCUCACAAUGAGCUACAAGAAACCACAGGGGGAACUACAAUGAACACACUGCAAAUUAUAUCAACAUGAAAAAGAAAAUAGAAAUGAUAAACAAGGGCCAAGAUGAAAUGAAGAAUACAAUUUCUGAACUGAAGAACACAGUAGAAGGAAUCAAAAGCAGGAUUAAUGAUGCAGAGGAUCGGAUCAGCGAGUUGGAGGACAAGGUAGAAAAAAGCACUCAGAAUCAGGGAGACAAGAAGAAGAGGCUCAGAAAGAAUGAAGAAGGGUUAUGGGAAAUGCAGGACUAUAUGAAACAUAAUCAAAUCCAUAUAAUAGGGAUACCAGAAGGAGAAGGAGAAGAGCAAGUGAUAGAAGACCUUUUUGAAAAAGUAAUGAUGGAAAACUUCCCUAAUAUGAUGAGAGAAAAAGUUACACAAAUUCAGGAAACACAGAGAGUCUCAAUCAAGAGGAAUCCAAAGAGGCCCACUUCAAGACAUAUCACAAUAAAAAUGGCAAAAUUCCCAGAUAGAGAGAAUCUUAAAGGCAGCAAGGGAAAAACAGGAAGUAACAAAUUGGAGCCUCAAUAAGACUAGCAGUUGACUUCUCAAUGGAAAUGGUCUAAACCAGAACAAAAUGGCAUGAAAUACUCCAGGUAAUGAAAACCAGAGGACUGCAAUCAAGACUACUUUAUCCGCCAAGGCUAUCAAUUAAAAUUGAAGGGUAAAUAUGAAGCUUCCUGGACAAAAGAAGCCACAAAUAAUAUACCUUCUAAAAACUGUCUCUGCAGGAGAUUUGAUUUAAGAACAGGAAUAAAAGCAGUUAAAGUAAGAGGAACACAGGCAUGAAAAAAUGGCAAUGAAUAAGCACCUAUCAAUACUAACCUUAAAUGUAAAUGAAAUAAAUGCCCCAAUGAAAAGACACAGAAUAACCACAAGUGGAAAACUUAUUUGAACAAAUAAUAAAGGAGAAUUUCCCCAAUCUGGCAAAGGCAAUAGACUUCUAGGAAAUCCAGGAAGCUCAGAGAGUUCCAAAGAAUUGGGACCCAAGAAGGAACACACUAAGGCACAUCAUAAUUACAUUAGCCAAGAUUAAAAUGAGCACAGCUAGAUGAGGAGUGGAACCAUAGAAAUGAAGAUCACAUGAAGGGUUAGCAACAGGGGAGUGGGAGAAGGAGAAGGGGGGAGAAGGUACAGAAAAUAAGUAGCAUAGACAGAGGGGUAGAAAAUAGAUAGGGGGCAGGACAAGAAUAGUAGGGAA